UGGCAAUGAUUGAGGAAAUGUUAACUUCGCGGUUUCCACUCGAGAUGCGUCCAUGUGGGUAUAUUUCCUUGGAUGUCUGAGCCA